AGGAUUAACGCUGGCGGCGUGCCUAACACAUGCAAGUCGAGCGGAAAGGCCCUUCGGGGUACUCGAGCGGCGAACGGGUGAGUAACACGUGAGCAACCUGCCCUUAGCUUCGGGAUAGCUCCGGGAAACCGGAAUUAAUACCGAAUAUGACUGCGGCUGACAUCAGCCACGGUGGAAAGUUUUUCGGCUAGGGAUGGACUCGCGGCCUAUCAGCUAGUUGGUGAGGUAACGGCCCACCAAGGCGACGACGGGUA
rnacentral:rRNA from 1 species